rnacentral:rRNA from 1 species
GGUUAAGUUAGAAAGGGCGCACGGUGGAUGCCUUGGCACUAGGAGCCGAAGAAGGACGGGACUAACACCGAUAUGCUUUGGGGAGCUGUACGUAAGCGUUGAUCCAGAGAUUUCCGAAUGGGGGAACCCACUAUCUUUAGUCGGAUAGUAUCCUUACGUGAAUACAUAGCGUAAGGAAGGCAGACCCAGGGAACUGAAACAUCUAAGUACCUGGAGGAAGAGAAAGAAAAAUCGAUUUCCUGAGUAGCGGCGAGCGAAACGGAAAGAGCCCAAACCAAGAAGCUUGCUUCUUGGGGUUGUAGGACACUCUAUACGGAGUUACAAAAGAAAGUUAUAAAUGAAGCGGUCUGGAAAGGCCCGCCAAAGACGGUAACAGCCCGGUAGUUGAAAUGGCUUUCCCUCCAGAGUGGAUCCUGAGUACGGCGGAACACGUGAAAUUCCGUCGGAAUCCGGGAGGACCAUCUCCCAAGGCUAAAUACUCCCUAGUGACCGAUAGUGAACCAGUACCGUGAGGGAAAGGUGAAAAGCACCCCGGAAGGGGAGUGAAACAGUUCCUGAAACCGUGUGCCUACAAGUAGUUAGAGCCCGUUAAUGGGUGAUAGCGUGCCUUUUGUAGAAUGAACCGGCGAGUUACGAUUUGUUGCAAGGUUAAGCGGAAAAAGCGGAGCCGUAGCGAAAGCGAGUCUGAAUAGGGCGCAUAAGUAACAGGUCGUAGACCCGAAACCAGGUGAUCUACCCAUGUCCAGGAUGAAGGUAAGGUAAUACUUACUGGAGGUCCGAACCCACGCACGUUGAAAAGUGCGGGGAUGAGGUGUGGGUAGCGGAGAAAUUCCAAUCGAACUUGGAGAUAGCUGGUUCUCUCCGAAAUAGCUUUAGGGCUAGCCUCGAGGUAAAGAGUCAUGGAGGUAGAGCACUGUUUGGACUAGGGGCCCUUCUCGGGUUACCGAAUUCAGAUAAACUCCGAAUGCCAUGUACUUAUACUCGGGAGUCAGACUGCGAGUGAUAAGAUCCGUAGUCGAAAGGGAAACAGCCCAGACCACCAGUUAAGGUCCCCAAAUAUAUGUUAAGUGGAAAAGGAUGUGGGGUUGCUUAGACAACCAGGAUGUUGGCUUAGAAGCAGCCACCAUUGAAAGAGUGCGUAAUAGCUCACUGGUCGAGUGACCCCGCGCCGAAAAUGUACCGGGGCUAAACAUAUUACCGAAACUGUGGAUGAACCUCUUCGGAGGUUCGUGGU